GUGGGGAAUAUUGCGCAAUGGGCGAAAGCCUGACGCAGCAACGCCGCGUGAGUGAUGAAGGUCCUCGGAUCGUAAAGCUCUGUCGACAGGAAAGAUGGGCUGGACGGCGAAUACCCGGCCAGCUUGACGGUACCUGUAAAGGAAGCACCGGCUAACUCUGUGCCAGCAGCCGCGGUAAGACAGAGGGUGCAAGCGUUGUUCGGAAUUAUUGGGCGUAAAGGGCGCGUAGGCGGCCGAGCAAGUCAACUGUGAAAGCCCAGGGCUCAACCCUGGAAGUGCAGCUGAAACUGCUCGGCUAGAAUAUCGGAGAGGGUGGUGGAAUUCCCAGUGUAGAGGUGAAAUUCGUAGAUAUUGGGAGGAACACCGGUGGCGAAGGCGACCGCCUGGACGAAUAUUGACGCUGAGGCGCGAAAGCGUGGGUAGCAAACAGG
rnacentral:rRNA from 1 species